rnacentral:rRNA from 1 species
CUACGGGAGGCAGCAGUAAGGAAUAUUGGACAAUGGGCGCAAGCCUGACCCAGCGACGCCGCGUGGAGGACGAAGGGCUUCGGCUCGUAAACUCCUUUUCCCGUGGACGAGAGAAGGACGGUACACGGGGAAUAAGUCUCGGCUAACUACGUGCCAGCAGCCGCGGUAAAACGUAGGAGGCGAGCGUUAUCCGGAAUCACUGGGCGUAAAGGGCGUCUAGGCGGCACGACAAGUGAGGUGUGAAAGCUCCUGGCUCAACUAGGAGAGUGCGCUUCAGACUGUCGAGCUUGGAGGGCAGGUGAAGGGGGUGGAAUUCCCGGUGGAGUGGUGAAAUGCGUAGAGAUCGGGAGGAACACCAGUGGCGAAAGCGGCCCCCUGGCCUGUUGCUGACGCUGAAGCGCGAAAGCGUGGGGAGCAAACGGGAUUAGAUACCCUGGUAGUCC